GGCAUGUCGGAUCCCUGCUCGGGCAGCGACGGCAUCUCCUUCACGCCUUUUCAGUUGUUGGCGCGGGCGCGUGCUCGGCCGACGUUGGUUAUCCUGUGCUGAAUACCUAUCGCGAGGGCAUUAUGUCGGCUAAAUUCGUCCCUUUCCCGCCUUGCGCYGCUGGUCCUCGUGGGCAGUGGUGCGGGGUGGGCCAAAUCGCACACGCCGUGUAUCGCACCGUGUUCGCCCAUACGGGUGUUCCGGUUGUCGACCCACGACGUUGUGCUCGAUAUCUCGGGUAUGGUGCAUCAUGUGGGAACGAGGCCGUUGGCCUCCGAGCACCACAAACAAGCGUUCUACGCUUCGUGCGAACGACGGUCGGUUCGGUCUUUGGCCGUGCUCUCGUAGCUCGGUUGAAGUCGGGCCGACGUCGAUGAGG
rnacentral:misc_RNA from 1 species